CAGCCGGAAGGUGAGACAUCCGCGGUCGC
rnacentral:sRNA from 1 species